rnacentral:rRNA from 1 species
UACGUAGGGUGCAAGCGUUAAUCGGAAUUACUGGGCGUAAAGCGUGCGCAGGCGGUGAUGUAAGACAGGUGUGAAAUCCCCGGGCUCAACCUGGGAACUGCAUUUGUGACUGCAUGGCUAGAGUACGGUAGAGGGGGAUGGAAUUCCGCGUGUAGCAGUGAAAUGCGUAGAUAUGCAGAGGAACACCGAUGGCGAAGGCAAUCCCCUGGACCUGUACUGACGCUCAUGCACGAAAGCGUGGGGAGCAAACAGG